rnacentral:rRNA from 1 species
GUCUCUUCGGGGAUGAUUAAACCGGCGCACGGGUGAGUAACACGUGAGUGACCUGCCUUUUAGACUGGAACAACUUACCGAAAGGUGAGCUAAUGCCGGAUGAGUUAUAUAAGUGCAUGUUUAUAUAGGAAAAGUAGGGGAGACCUGACGCUGAAAGAUGGACUCGCGUCCCAUUAGCUAGUUGGUAGGGUAAUGGCCUACCAAGGCGACGAUGGGUAGCCGGCCUGAGAGGGUGGCCGGCCACACUGGGACUGAGACACGGCCCAGACUCCUACGGGAGGCAGCAGUGGGGAAUUUUGCGCAAUGCUCGUAAGAGUGACGCAGCGACGCCGCGUGAAUGACGAAGGCCUUCGGGUCGUAAAGUUCUUUCGACAGGGAAGAAAAUGCCUAUAAGUAACUGUGUAUGUAUUGACGGUACCUGUAUAAGCAGCCCCGGCUAACUCCGUGCCAGCAGCCGCGGUAAUACGGAGGGGGCGAGCGUUGUACGGAGUGACUGGGCGUAAAGAGCACGUAGGCGGUGUUGUAAGUCAUUAGUCAAAGACUAGAGCUCAACUUUAGUAAGGCUAGUGAUACUAUAAUACUAGAGUAUCAGAGAGGAUUGCAGAAUUCCUGGUGUAGCGGUGAAAUGCGUAGAUAUCAGGAGGAAUACCGUUAGCGAAGGCGGCAAUCUGGCUGGAAACUGACGCUGAGGUGCGAAAGCGUGGGUAGCAAACAGGAUUAGAUACCCUGGUAGUCCACGCUGUAAACGAUGGAUGCUAGGUGUUGGGCUUUUAAGUUCAGUGCCG